rnacentral:rRNA from 1 species
AUUACCCAAUACGGACACAGGGAGGUAGUGACAAGAAAUAACAAUACAGGGCAAUUGUCUUGUAAUUGGAAUGAUGGUGACGUAAAAUCUCACCAGAGUAACAAUUGGAGGGCAAGUCUGGUGCCAGCAGCCGCGGUAAUUCCAGCUCCAAUAGCGUAUAUUAAACUUGUUGCAGUUAAAAAGCUCGUAGUUGAAUUUCUGCGUUGCCCGACUCGGCUACUUGCCUUGUCUGGUUUCGCUUUUGGGGUUUUCCCCUUUUUACUUUGAGAAAAUUAGAGUGUUUCAAGCAGACUUGUGUCUUGAAUACUUCAGCAUGGAAUAAUAAAGUAGGACUUUGGUUCUAUUUUGUUGGUUUGUGAACCUUAGUAAUGGUUAAUAGGAACGGUUGGGGGCAUUCGUAUUUAA